CUGUGCUAUGUGAAUGGAAGAUGGUUGUUGUCAUUCUGCGGUUUAUAUAAUGAAAAGGUAAAAUCACAAAAAUACUGAACUUCGAGGAAAAUUCAAAACGGAUAGUCAUAAUUAAAGGGAAACUCAAAAGCUCUAGCACAUCAAACGAAUGGACAACAACUGUCGUAUUCGUGACUUUGUUUAUGCCUCUUCUUAUGUAGAAAGUGGUGGAUUGAACCUGGUUUCAUAGCUAGCUAAACCUCUCACUUGUAUGACAGUCGCAUCAAAUUGUACUAAAUAUUUUUUUAAUUUUUUUAUUUGUAUAUUUCUCUGUGCUAAGUGUUUCCGUUUAUUAGCAUUGUGUUCCUGUCAUAAAGUGUUGUCAUUUAAGCCACAUUUGAUUACAUUGCCAUAUAAGCGGGAGGUUUGGCUAGCCAUAAAACCAUGUGUUUCUCUCAGUUUUAGUUUGUAACCCGGAUUUGUUAUCUCUCAAUUGAUUUAUGAGUUUCGAACAGCGGUUUACUACUGUUGCCUUUAUUUUCCUCUCAUUAUAGUUGAUGUGUUUCCCAUGGGUUAAGUUUGUAGCCGGGAUUUGUUUUCUUUUAAUCGAUUUGUGAACAGGGUAUACUACUGUUUUGUUUGUGUUACAUAUUUGUUUUUCGCUCAUUUUUUUUAUACAAAUAAGGCCGUUAGAUUUCUCGUUUGAAUUGUUUUACAUUGUCAUUUCGGGGCCUUUUAUAGCUGACUAUGCGGUAUGUGCUUUGCUCUUUGUUGAAGGCCAUACAAUGACUAUAGUUGUUUAUUCCUGUGUUAUUUUGGUCUCUGGUGGAGAGCUGUCUCAUUGGCAAUCAUACCACAUCCUCUUUUUUAUAAGUAGAUUGAAUCAUGGGAUUAUAUGUAAUGGAAUAUUUCCUGCAGUCUGCAAGAGACUUGCAA
rnacentral:lncRNA from 1 species